AAUCAACGCUGGCGGCGUGCCUAACACAUGCAAGUCGAACGCGAGAGGGGCUUCGGCCCCGAUUGAGUGGCGAACGGGUGAGUAACGCGUGGGUGACCUACCUUCGAGUGGGGGAUAACGUCCCGAAAGGGACGCUAAUACCGCAUAACAUCCUGCUUUUGAAUGGGUGGAGAUCAAAGCCGGGGAUCGCAAGACCUGGCGCUUGAUGAGGGGCCCGCGUCUGAUUAGCUAGUUGGUGAGGUAACGGCCCACCAAGGCAACGAUCAGUAUCCGGCCUGAGAGGGCGGACGGACACACUGGGACUGAGACACGGCCCAGACUCCUACGGGAGGCAGCAGUGGGGAAUUGUUCGCAAUGGGCGCAAGCCUGACGACGCAACGCCGCGUGGAGGAUGAAGGUCUUCGGAUUGUAAACUCCUGUUGCCCGGGACGAAUGGCUCCGACCUAACACGUCGGAGUGUGACGGUACCGGGUGAGGAAGCCCGGCUAACUCUGUGCCAGCAGCC
rnacentral:rRNA from 1 species